rnacentral:rRNA from 1 species
AAUAGAUACCCCGGUAGUCCACGCCGUAAACGAUGAGUGCUAAGUGUUAGGGGGGUUUCCGCCCCUUAGUGCUGCAGCUAACGCAUUAAGCACUCCGCCUGGGGAGUACGGUCGCAAGACUGAAACUCAAAGGAAUUGACGGGGGCCCGCACAAGCGGUGGAGCAUGUGGUUUAAUUCGAAGCAACGCGAAGAACCUUACCAGGUCUUGACAUCCCAUUGACCGCUAUGGAGACAUAGCUUUCCCUUCGGGGACAGUGGUGACAGGUGGUGCAUGGUUGUCGUCAGCUCGUGUCGUGAGAUGUUGGGUUAAGUCCCGCAACGAGCGCAACCCUUGUUCUUAGUUGCCAUCAUUUAGUUGGGCACUCUAAGGAGACUGCCGGUGACAAACCGGAGGAAGGUGGGGAUGACGUCAAAUCAUCAUGCCCCUUAUGACCCGGGCUACACACGUGCUACAAUGGACGGUACAAACGGUUGCCAACCCGCGAGGGGAGCUAAUCCGAUAAAACCGUUCUCAGUUCGGAUUGUAGGCUGCAACUCGCCUACA